GGACACAGCAUGAACAUGAGGGCCCCCACUCAGCUCCUGGGGCUCCUGGUGCUCUGGCUCCCAGGCUGGACAUGUGUACUCAAGACCAGGGCACAGGAGGACUUGUAGCCUCAAUCCCAACUUCUUGGGAGGUGAGAGAGCUGCUCUAGUCUAUUGGAGAAUAAGAGGCCACUUGAAGGAGAGAGAGGUGCCCAAAUAUCAGCCAGACCAAUUUCCAGUAAUAUCCAGAACUGUUGCUCUGUCCUCACUGAAUUCUGUCAGGUGGUGCCUGAUUUCAAUUGCUCCUUUGAUUGAUGAUACUCAGUUUGAUUCCUGUUUGAAGAGCACAGCCCAUGGCCCUGAGAACUUUAUAGGCUGCUCACACUCUGUGCAGGAGUCAGUCCCAGUCAGGACACAGCAUGGACCUGAAAGCCCCUGCUCAGCUCCUGGGGCUCCUGCUGCUCUGGCUGCCAGAUGUCAGAUGUGACAUCCAGAUGAUCCAGUCUCCAUCCUCCCUGUUUGCAUAUCCAGGAGACAAUCACCAUCACCUGCAGGGCCAGUCAGAGUGUUGGCAAUUAUUUACACUAGUAUCAGCAGAAAUCAGGAAAAGCCCCUAAACUCCUAAUCAGUUACACAACCAGUUUAGAAUCUGGCAUCCGCCCGAGGUUCAGUAACAGUGGAUAUGGAACAGAUUUUACUCUUGCCAUCAGCAGCCUGGAGCCUGAAGAUUUUACAAAUUAUUACUACAGAAAUGGUAACAACCUAUUUGCCACAGUGAUACAAGACAUAACAUAAUCCUCCCAGAGAAGUGGAAAUGUGAGCUGGGCUGCCACAGCUGCUUCUAUUGGUGACACUACCAGCUAAAACCUUUUCUCUGAUGCAUCCAGACUCUGAAGGUCUGGUAGAAAGAUCCAGGAAGGCUGCUUUGCAGAGAAAUGUGUGCUGUGUCCUCCUCCUCAGCCUCAGAAGCUUAGAAUUAAUAAAGUGUCUCUUGUUCUAAUGAAAGACACAAACUAUUACACCUAAGAUUAAUACAGGAAAGGAGGAGUGCCAGCAUUUUUUAAUACAGGGAAUGAGAUUCUAAUCUGCAUCCUUUAUAGGACUGGGAGUAUGGUAAUCAAAGAUGCAGAUAUAAAAUCAGAACAAUUACAACUAAAAUAAAAAUGAAAUGAAAAUUUUCUUAUUCUCUACAAAUGAAAAUGCCUCUAAUCUUCCAUUAGAAGCUAUAGCAAAUCUGCCAAGGAUAUUAUAAACAGGAACUUUUUUUUCUUUCCACUACUUGAUAUUACAGGGCCUUACCCAUUGUGAGUGCCCUGCUGCUGAGCUACAUUUCAAGCCUCUAGGAACUGUUUAAAUGAAGGUCAUUUGAGUAUAAACUACAGCCUUGAAAUUGCAGGUGGCAUGAGCAUUAUGGAAGAAGACAUUAGGAUGGAGAUAGUCACUGAUGAUCUCAUAGAAGCCAGAGGACAGAUUCUACUGAAAGUAUGGGCUGCCUCACCCUAUGGUCCUCAGAUCUAAGAAGCCCAGUCUUGGUGAUGCUCAUGAUCUCAGCCACCUGAGCACCUCACCUGGUGGUUACACAGUAAUCACCUCUGUGCAUAUGUUUGCUUGAGGGAAAGGAUGCUGCAGAUAUUGUGGAAGAAUUCUAUUACUCACUUUCAAGUCUCAGAUGCAGCUUGUCAUUGACAAUUCUAUAGGAAAGCUGAAAAGUAAAAGGGAUUAUGGGAAAUGUGCUUGCAGAAGGUGUGAUGAUAGCAAGUUAUCAGCUGGACCCAAUAAUGAUCCCUAUUCUACCAACUCCCAGAGUGUUGACAGGGAGAAUGUGGCCCCAAAAUAUUUUCACAUAUGCUGCUAAGAACCAUUAUCAAAGAGGAAUUGUAAAAAUAAAUCACCAUUAAGUCAUAAAGUCAGUCAGAAAUAGCAUGAAAUAUGUAAGAUCAUUUGACAACUGACAAAGCUUAAUUGACAAAGUAAAUAGCAAAAUAAAGUAAACAUGAAUGUAGUAUUGUUUUCCUUCCUGCUCAAAAUUUAUUCAGAAUUCAACG